ACCAAAACUUGUUUUCCUUAAACUUGAGCGGCGCGUAAGCUAGCUCAGAAAAAAAGCUUGUUUUUGCGCGCCGCUCAGAAAAAAAACUUGUUUUUCCUUUGAAAGGAUACGAUAGCAGAGAAUGUCGGCUCUUGUUUCAAGUUGGUCCAGGACCGUUCAUUCCGUGCCAGAAGACUAUGUGUUCCCAGAGAACAAAAGGCCCGGACGUGACAUUGCAGCACCCGUUUGCAAGGAUAUUCCAGUCAUUGAUCUAUCACAGAUGGAUGGCCUUGAUCGCGUUGAAAAAAUUCAGCAAAUCAUGAAAGCUAACCGCGAUUUAGGAAUCUUCCAGGUGAUCAAUCAUGGAGUAUCUGAAGAGCUAUUGGAUGAAACAAUGAAUCUGUUCAAGGAGUUCUUCAGCAUGCCUGCAGAAGACAAGGCCAUGCAUUAUUCUGAGGAUGGAACUAAGGGUUUUAGGCUCUACACAAGCAGUUUGUCUUACAUAGAUGAUGGGGUUAACACCUGGAAGGUUCUGUGAAACACACUUGUCAGCCUUUGGAGGAUAACAUCCAAUCUUGGCCUGAAAAGCCAGCUGGAUAUCAGGAGGUGGUUGGGGCCUACACAGGGGAACUGAGGAAAUUAAGCUCGAGGAUUUUGGAUCUGAUUUGUGAAGGACUGGGGAUUGGAGUGGGGUACUUUGAGGAUGAGCUGAGCAAGCUUCAGGAACUAGUGGUCCACCAUUACCCACCAUGUCCAGACCCAAGUUUGGUUUUGGGAGUUGGUGGGCACAGUGACCCACACCUCUUAACCUUGCUUCAGUAGGAGGAUAUCUGUGGGCUCCAGAUUUACAAGGAUGGGCAGUGGCUUGGGGUUGAACCAAUUCCUCAUGCUUUUGUUAUCAUGAUUUCUGACCAACUUGAGAUUAACAGCAAUGGGAAGCUAAAAAGUGCUCAACACCGAGCAGUGACGAAUACCAGCUCUGCCCGGACAUCCUUAGUCACUUUUAUUAGUCCAUCUCUAGAAUCCAUCAUAGAAUCUGAAAAGGCACUUGUUAGUGCAUCCGAACCCCCAGUCUUCAAGUCCAUGCAGUUCAAGGAGUACCUUGAUAUUCACACGGCCAAUCACCCGUGGUAAGCCGGCAUGGCCUCAUAUCCAAAGUAAAACAUGAGUACGGUGGAAGGACUCAUUCGAUGUCAUGUCAAGACUGCUUCAAUACCAAUGAUCGAUGUUAUAGGCUUGUAUUAAAUAUGGCAAUGAGGUGUGAUAGACUUUCAUAAAAUAUCAUUGCCGAAUCUCAAAUAGUUAUGUAAAAUACCUGCUUGAACUUCGUCUGUGUAAUCCAAUCUUGUUUGAAUGAAAUUUUCAUCAAGUUUUCUUGGCGGCCA